rnacentral:rRNA from 1 species
GACGAACGCUGGCGGCGUGCCUAACACAUGCAAGUCGAACGGAAGGGCCCUGCUUUCUUGCGGUGCCGGAUUGCGGAUCGGGUGAGUAACAGGUAUACAACUUGCUCUUGUUUUUGGUAUACCUUCACGAAAUUGGGCUUAAUCCCGGAUCGCAUCCCCUCUCCCAUGGAGGGGGUUGGAACGUUCCGGCGGUUGGGGAUGGAUUCGCGGCUUACUAGCUAGUUGGUGGGGUAGUGGCUUACCAAGGCGUUGACGGGUAGCCGGCCUGAGAGGGUGACCGGCCACAUUGGGACUGAGAGACGGCGCAGACUCCUACGGGAGGCAGCAGGGGGGAAUAUGACACAAUGAGCGGAAGCCUGAUGCAGCAACGCCGCGUGCGGGAUGACGGCCUUCGGGUUGUAAACCGCAUUCGCCUAUGACGAAGCGUGAGUGACGGUAAUGGGUAAAGAAGCACCGGCUAACUACGUG